CUUGUUGGGUCACUUACUGCUUGGAUUGUCAACCAACUGGAUGUGCUGCUGCUAUUAACGUGUUGAUAUUGGUCACUUCCUGAGACCUGUUUGCUCUUCGGUGGAUGAGACUCAUGAAUGAAGAGCAUUGCAUCAUGGAUGGUCAAAAAGAAGAUAGACGUCUUGAUUUCAUCAUCAAAAAAAUGUACAGUUCCUCAGCUUCUCUAUGAUAUACGCUGGAAACGACAUGUCAAAGAAUGAACACAGCUGCCAUACCGCUUUAAGACCCUCGAGUGCAGAUAUAUCCAGGAAUGAGACCACAGAGAAGUCCAGGAUCAAACUGUGGAUGUUCA